GGGCUCACCUCAGCAGCACACAUACUAAAGUUGGAAUGAUACAGAGAUUAGCCUGGCCCCUGUGCAGGGAUGACACACAAAUCUGUGGAGCCUUCCAUAUUUUU
ensembl:snRNA U6 U6 spliceosomal RNA